UACGUAGGGGGCAAGCGUUAUCCGGAUUUACUGGGUGUAAAGGGAGCGUAGACGGCAAGGCAAGUCUGGAGUGAAAGCCCGGGGCCCAACCCCGGGACUGCUCUGGAAACUGUGUAACUGGAGUGCAGGAGAGGUAAGUGGAAUUCCUAGUGUAGCGGUGAAAUGCGUAGAUAUUAGGAGGAACACCAGCGGCGAAGGCGGCCCACUGGACUGCGACUGACGUUGAGGCUCGAAGGCGUGGGGAGCAA
rnacentral:rRNA from 1 species